GGUAGCCCACUGCCAGAUAGUUACAGACAUCGCUAUCAGUCUGUUCCCCCUCCACCUAUAAAAGGGAGACCCCAGAUACAUUAUUCUCUAAGCUCUAAUUUCUAUCCUAAAACUCUGCUAAAAUUUUUGUUCGAGCACUCCAUUCUUGUUGAGGCAGAGAACUAACUUGAGCGUCGGAAGGUCUUGCUGGAGCAACCCCA
rnacentral:lncRNA from 1 species